rnacentral:rRNA from 1 species
GACGAACGCUGGCGGCGUGCUUAACACAUGCAAGUCGAACGGAAAGGCCCCUUUGGGGGUACUCGAGUGGCGAACGGGUGAGUAACACGUGAGUAACCUGCCCUUGACUUCGGGAUAACUUCAGGAAACUGGGGCUAAUACCGGAUAGGAAUCCUUGCUGCAUGGUGGGGGUUGGAAAGCUUCGGCGGUUUUGGAUGGACUCGCGGCUUAUCAGCUUGUUGGUGGGGUAGUGGCUUACCAAGGCUUUGACGGGUAGCCGGCCUGAGAGGGCGACCGGCCACAUUGGGACUGAGAGACGGCCCAGACUCCUACGGGAGGCAGCAGUGGGGAAUAUUGCACAAUGGGCGGAAGCCUGAUGCAGCAACGCCGCGUGCGGGAUGACGGCCUUCGGGUUGUAAACCGCUUUCAGCAGGGGCGAAGCUUGUGGUGACGGUACCUGCAGAAGAGGCACCGGCUAACUACG